rnacentral:rRNA from 1 species
GGCGGCGCGUUUAAGCAUGCAAGUCGAACGGCAAGCACUGUAGCAAUAUGGUGCUGAGAGUGGCGAACGGGUGAGUAACACGUAGGUGAUCUACCCUCGGGUGGGGGGAUAGUCCGUGGAAACACGGGGUAAUACCGCAUGAGGCCUUGUGGAUAGAGCCAUGAGGUGAAAGGUGCAAUUGCACCGUCUGGGGAUGAGCCUGCGCUCCAUUAGGUAGUUGGCGGGGUAAGAGCCCACCAAGCCUACGAUGGAUAGCCGGCCUGAGAGGGUGUACGGCCACACUGGAACUGAGACACGGUCCAGACUCCUACGGGAGGCAGCAGCUAAGAAUCUUCCGCAAUGGGGGAAACCCUGACGGAGCGACGCCGCGUGGAACGAUGGAGGCCGUAAGGUUGUAAAGUCCUUUUGCAGGUGAAGAAUAACUGGGGGAGUGGAAAGCCCCUGGGAUGACGUUAGCCUGCGAAUAAGCCCCGGCUAAUUACGUGCCAGCCGCAGC